CCUGGUGGCUAUAAUUAGUUUAGACAUCGGAACACAAACCAGUUUUGGACGAUGAAAUGUAAAGGGAAAGUCUCGUUCCCUCCUAGGAAAACAGAAACAGUCAACAUGCCCGAGUGCUGUGAACGUUAUGAGAGGGCCUUGUUGGGAACACGUGCUCCUGGGAAUCAGCCCUUCCCUCUGUCCUGUUCCCACUCCUCCCCGACGAUGCUCCUGCUCAGAACCCACUCCUCACCUCAGUGAAGCAACGCAGCGGGCACCCUGUGGACAAAGCUGGAUAUUGGCUCUGAAUAAAAGCGAAUCAUGGGGAAAA